UACGUAGGGUGCGAGGGUUAAUCGGAAUUACUGGGCGUAAAGCGUGCGCAGGCGGUGAUGUAAGACCGAUGUGAAAUCCCCGGGCUUAACCUGGGAACUGCAUUUGUGACUGCAUCGCUGGAGUGCGGCAGAGGGGGAUGGAAUUCCGCGUGUAGCAGUGAAAUGCGUAGAUAUGCGGAGGAACACCGAUGGCGAAGGCAGCCUCCUGGGAUAACACUGACGCUCAUGCACGAAAGCGUGGGGAGCAAACAGG
rnacentral:rRNA from 1 species